CAAAAACAUUUCCUCUUGGUAAAAGAGGUAAGGCCUGCUCACUGAAUUUUUUAAAGAGCCGCAGUAUUCUAACUGUGCUAAGGUAGCAUAAUCAUUAGUCUUUUAAUUGGAGACUGGUAUGAAUGGCUAAACGAGAAAAUAACUUUUUUUGUUAAAAAUAUUGAAUUUAAUUUUUUAGUGAAAAAGCUAAAAUUUUUCAGAAAGACGAGAAGACCCUAUAGAGUUUUAUAUCUAAUAAUAUUUUUUCUAAUUUGAUUUACAAGGACUUAGUAUUUAAAGGUAUUUUGUUGGGGCGACAUUAAGAUAAAUGAAACUCUUUGUUUUGGAAAUUUUUAUAGAAAAAUUUUAUGAUCCUCUUUAAGGGAUCAAAAGAAAAAAUUACCUUAGGGAUAACAGCGUAAUCUUUUUUGAGAGUUCUAAUCGACAAAAAGGUUUGCGACCUCGAUGUUGGACUAAAAUUUAGGCAAGGUGCAGAAGUUUUGCUUUUAGGUCUGUUCGACCUAUAAUA
rnacentral:rRNA from 1 species